rnacentral:rRNA from 1 species
AUGGUAGGAUAGAGGCCUACCAUGGUGGUAACGGGUAACGGGGUGUUAGGGCACGACACCGGAGAGGGAGCCUGAGAAACGGCUACCACAUCCAAGGAAGGCAGCAGGCGCGCAAAUUACCCAAUCCCGACACGGGGAGGUAGUGACAAUAAAUAACAAUACGGGGCUCAUUUGGGUCUCGUAAUUGGAAUGAGUACAAUUUAAAUCCCUUAACGAGGAACAAUUGGAGGGCAAGUCUGGUGCCAGCAGCCGCGGUAAUUCCAGCUCCAAUAGCGUAUAUUUAAGUUGUUGCAGUUAAAAAGCUCGUAGUUGGACCUUGGGUCGUCACGGUCGGUCCGCCUACUUGGUGUGCACUGGCCCUCACGUCCCUUCUGCCGGCGGCGCGUUCCUGGCCUUAAUUGGCUGGGUCGCGGUUCCGGCGCCGUUACUUUGAAAAAAUUAGAGUGCUCAAAGCAAGCCUACGCUCUGAAUACAUUAGCAUGGAAUAACGCGAUAGGAGUCUGGUCCUGUUCCGUUGGCCUUCGGGACCGGAGUAAUGAUUAAUAGGGACUGUCGGGGGCAUUCGUAUUUCAUUGUCAGAGGUGAAAUUCUUGGAUUUAUGGAAGACGAACCACUGCGAAAGCAUUUGCCAAGGAUGUUUUCAUUAAUCAAGAACGAAAGUUGGGGGCUCGAAGACGAUCAGAUACCGUCCUAGUCUCAACCAUAAACGAUGCCGACCAGGGAUCGGCGGAUGUUGCUCUAAGGACUCCGCCAGCACCUUCUGGGAAACCAAA